CCUUCACUGGCAGUGUUUGGCAAUGGUAGAACUCACACUGGUGAGCUAUGUGGAUCCGGUGGUUCUAGACUUGCCAACUAUGGCCUUGGAGG
rnacentral:pre_miRNA from 1 species